CUCAAAUCCCUACUCUCUUCUUUCACUCUCUUCCUGAUCCUCACCUGGUCCCACUGAUGGUUCUGGUUUGACAGCACCAGGAAUCCUCCAUCAUCAAUGAGGACACAGAGCUGGGUGAUGCCUACGUGUUGAGAUCCUGGUCCCUCCACACACGCUCUACCAGCUGCUGCGUGAUGCCCGUGUCCAAGAUCAGGUUGUGCAGAAGGAAGUUGUUGCCUGGAACAGGAGGGGAGGGGUGGGGGUGGGGGCAUCUUCUUGCAGCUCCUUGCCCACCCUCACCCCCACCCUUAAGGCUCCACCAGGAGCCUCCUCCAUGACCUGGCCCUGGCCCAGGCCCAGCCCUUAGCUUGUGCCUGCUUAUUUCCACACCUGCCCGGCCUCUGGGUUCCUCUGGGCUGGCCCCAUGCUGCCUGGGCACUGCCCAGAGCCAGCUGCCCUGCCAGGCACUCACACUGCUUGGAGUCUGGAGUCACUUUCUCCAUGAGCUCAAUAAAGUUUUUCAGGAACUCGG
rnacentral:lncRNA from 1 species